ensembl:lncRNA
CGCAGGGUCACCCCGCCGUGCCGGGGGUCGCUCCGUGCUGCUGCUGCCGUGCGAGCGAGCAUCCGAGCGAUUCCCGGCGCGGCGGAGCCCGGCAGCCGGGAGAUGCCCGGCGGCACCGACGGGCCCCGCUUCCAGGCCAGGAACGGGAUGCCCACGCAGCGACCAGCCCCCCUCAGCUUGUGUAUCCCCGGGCUCUCUGCCCCCCACUCAAGAUGGGCGCCCUUGAAUUGUGUUGCCUCGUUGAAGUUUAAUAUUUGGGGGUAGGGAGGAGAGUUUCGGCUUCUGUUGUGGCGUCUUUUCUUUUCCUGGCUGUAAGUACUUCCAGAUGGGAUUUAGACCCCAGACGUAACAAUAUUUCCAUAUUUGGUAUAGCAGUAGCCCGCAUUUUUCACAUUUUUCUGCUCUGUUAUCCAACCACAAAGCAUUCUUGACAGCUUCAGAUGUUGUUAAAUAUAGCCUUAACUUCUGUUCCCAGGGCAGGAAAUUCUUUGGAAUUCCUGUUUUUCACGCAAUCUGUCUAUCAUGAUUUAGGAGAACUCUGCUGGAGGAGCCAACUGGCGUUCUGCUGCAGCUCGCUUCUUUAUUGAAAUAGCCCAGCAGUUGGGUCUGCUGCCCAAAGGCGUUACAAUGAGUCCCCAUUCCAAGGAUUUUUCUUUGCAAAUUAGAUUACUAUUCCCAACACAAGUUCGGGGUUUUUAUUGUCGCCUUCAAGGCUGGAAGCGGGACGGGCAGCCGGGGAGGGGAGGCAGCCGCAGCCCCGCCGCUCGGAGGAGCCGAGCCCGGUCGUCUCGUCGCCUGCCCGGUGCCACGGCCCAAAGGGUGACAGCAAGGACGGUGCGCAGGGCUCCGGUAAGUGCCGCUCCCGGGGCCGCGGGCCCGUGCGCUGUUCCCCGUGCAUUCCACACCAGCGGGAAUGAUGAGGCGCCUUGUGGGACCCUGCCGGGGCC